UACGUAGGGGGCAAGCGUUGUCCGGAAUCAUUGGGCGUAAAGCGCGUGUAGGCGGCUAGGUAAGUCUGCUCUGAAAGCCCCUGGCUCAACUGGGGAAGUGCACCCGAAACUGAGCAGCUAGAGUACGAAAGAGGGUCGCGGAAUUCCCGGUGUAGAGGUGAAAUUCGUAGAUAUCGGGAGGAACACCGGUGGCGAAGGCGGCGACCUGGGUCGAUACUGACGCUGAGGCGCGAAAGCGUGGGGAGCAAACAGG
rnacentral:rRNA from 1 species